GUGCUCGAUUCGGCAGCACAUAUACUAAAAUUGGAACAAUACAGAGAAGAUUAGCAUAGCCCCUGCACAAGGAUGACACACAAAUUCGUGAAGCCUCCCUGUGUUUC
rnacentral:snRNA from 1 species